rnacentral:ncRNA from 2 species
AGAUAUCUAUUAAUGUUUGGUGCUCUGUUUUACGAGCUUAAUAGGGAAUUCGGUUAAAAGCCGAAGCUGUCCCCGCAACUGUAAUAGCUGACGAACGAAUAAUAAUCCACUGUCAUAGACGGGAAGGUAUUCUAGUAGGAAGAAGCUAAAGCCAGGAGACCUGCCAUCAUUAAUUGUUUCCA